GCCGAAGUGGCGGAAUUGGUAGACGCGUCGGAUUCAAAAUCCGAUUCUCGCAAGAGAGUGUGGGUUCGAUUCCCACCUUCGGUACCA
rnacentral:tRNA from 1 species